CAGUCGCCGCGGGAAUACGGAGGGGGCUAGCGUUGUUCGGAAUUACUGGGCGUAAAGCGCACGUAGGCGGCUUUGUAAGUUAGAGGUGAAAGCCCGGAGCUCAACUCCGGAAUUGCCUUUAAGACUGCAGAGCUAGCAGGUGAGAGAGGUGAGUGGAAUUCCGAGUGUAGAGGUGAAAUUCGUAGAUAUUCGGAAGAACACCAGUGGCGAAGGCGGCUCACUGGCUCAUACUGGACGCUGAGGUGCGAAAGCGUGGGGAGCAAACAGGAUUAGAUACCCCCGUAGUCCCUGUCUCUUAUAC
rnacentral:rRNA from 1 species